CCUACGGGUGGCAGCAGUGAGGAAUAUUGGUCAAUGGGCGCGAGCCUGAACCAGCCAAGUCGCGUGAGGGAAGACGGUCCUAUGGAUUGUAAACUUCUUUUGUAGGGGAGCAAAAGACGCCACGUGUGGCGUUCCGAGAGUACCCGAAGAAAAAGCAUCGGCUAACUCCGUGCCAGCAGCCGCGGUAAUACGGAGGAUGCGAGCGUUAUCCGGAUUUAUAGGGUUUAAAGGGUGCGCAGGCGGAAGAUAAAGACAGCGGUAAAAUUGAGAGGCUCAACCUCGUAGCGCCGUUGAAACUGGUGUGCUUGAGUGAAGGAGAGGUAUGCGGAAUGCGUGGUGUAGCGGUGAAAUGCAUAGAUAUCACGAAGAACUCCGAUUGCGAAGGCAGCAUACCGG
rnacentral:rRNA from 1 species